rnacentral:tRNA from 1 species
GGGGAUAUAGCUCAGUUGGUAGAGCAUCGCGUUUGCAACGCGGGGGUCAUCGGUUCGAGUCCGUUUAUCUCCA